UCCUGGUCUUUUGCCUGGAGAGACCAUCCUUUUUAAAAAAUUAUCUGUGCUUGUUGCUGUUUUCAGGCUGCCAGCUUCUCUAGUACCUGGGAUAUGUGAGGCAAAAAUAAAACUCAAGGAACUUACAGCAGUGUUGUUCUUUGGGUCCCAAGUUUCCUAGCUUCUUCACUCCACAUUUCACAGUCUUCUUAUUUUUUUUGUUUUUGUUUUUUUUUUAAAUAAAUAACAUCCAGGGAUUUUAGUUGUACCACCACUGAC
rnacentral:lncRNA from 1 species